AUCAAAAACUGUACAGUGUGACUGAUUCGGAGACGGCCCCUCAACACUCGCCCAGUCGUGUCGAGAGGAUCGGUGUCUUUGCAGAUUACACGGAAUUGAGCACCCGGGCCAGACUGACACUUUCCGGAGCCUGCCCUAGACGGAACUCGAGCCGAGGGAUCAUAGGUCCAGGCGGUGUCGAAAUGGGUCUAUAGCUCUGCCUGAACUGUCGUCCAAUUGGUUUACAAGUCCGGCUGAAGUGACAGGCCAUCAAAAACUGUACAGUGUGACUGAUUCGGAGACGGCCCUCAACACUCGCCCAGUCGUGUCGAGAGGAUCGGUGUCUUUGCAGAUUACACGGAAUUGAGCACCCGGGCCAGACUGACACUUUCCGGAGCCUGCCCUAGACGGAACUCGAGCCGAGGAAUCAUAGGUCCAGGCGGUGUCGAAAUGGGUCUAUAGCUCUGCCUGAACUGUCGUCCAAUUGGUUUACAAGUCCGGCUGAAGUGACAGGCCAUCAAAAACUGUACAGUGUGACUGAUUCGGAGACGGCCCUCAACACUCGCCCAGUCGUGUCGAGAGGAUCGGUGUCUUUGCAGAUUACACGGAAUUGAGCACCCGGGCCAGACUGACACUUUCCGGAGCCUGCCCUAGACGGAACUCGAGCCGAGGAAUCAUAGGUCCAGGUGUGACAAAAGACUUAAAGCUCAUGUCUGACGAUGACUUUUUUUAGUCAGGAAGCCAAGUGUGUUGUUUUUCCAUGCAAGCGAGCCCUUUUGUUGGGUCAAAUGACAUCAGCAUUGCUGCUUCUACAUGGAUUUUACCUAAAAUGUGCAAAAAAAAUAUAAAAAGUUU